GACGAACGCUGGCGGCGUGCCUAAUACAUGCAAGUCGAGCGAACUUGCGGGAGCUUGCUCCCAAAAGUUAGCGGCGGACGGGUGAGUAACACGUGGGCAACCUGCCUAUAAGACUGGGAUAACUUCGGGAAACCGGAGCUAGUACCGGAUAAUUCUUUUCUACUCAUGUAGGAAAGCUGAAAGAUGGUUUCGCCUAUCACUUAUAGAUGGGCCCGCGGCGCAUUAGCUAGUUGGUGAGGUAACGGCUCACCAAGGCGACGAUGCGUAGCCGACCUGAGAGGGUGAUCGGCCACACUGGGACUGAGACACGGCCCAGACUCCUACGGGAGGCAGCAGUAGGGAAUCUUCCGCAAUGGACGAAAGUCCGAUGGAGCAACGCCGCGUGAGUGAUGAAGGUUUUCGGAUCGUAAAACUCUGUUGUUAGGGAAGAACAAGUACUAGAGUAACUGCUAGUACCUUGACGGUACCUAACCAGAAAGCCACGGCUAACUACGUGCCAGCCGCCGCCGUAACAC
rnacentral:rRNA from 1 species